AUGUUUAUUUGGUAGGGCAGGUACUAUAAUCGUGAAGGUGGUUUUCCUAGGUUGAGGUUUUUUUUUUCCUUUGCGUCGCGAGAGUACUCCUGCGUUUUCCCUGAAUGUGGGAAAUUCAACUGCGUAAUUUGUGGUAGUGGGAGACUGUUUGUGUUCUCCCG
rnacentral:snRNA from 1 species